CGGUUGAAAGCUUUAGCGUCUGAGGAUGGGUCUGCGGCCGAUUAGGUAGUUGCUGGGGUAACGUCCCAACAAGCCGAUAAUCGGUACGGGUUGUGAGAGCAAGAGCCCGGAGAUGGAUUCUGAGACACGAAUCCAGGUCCUACGGGGCGCAGCAGGCGCGAAAACUUUACACUGCGCGAAAGCGCGAUAAGGGGACCUCGAGUGCGUGCGCGAAGCGUACGCUUUUCAGAUGCCUAAAAAGCAUCUGGAAUAAGGGCCGGGCAAGACCGGUGCCAGCCGCCGCGGUAACACCGGCGGCUCAAGUGGUGGCCGCUAUUAUUGGGCUUAAAGGGUCCGUAGCCGGACCAGUUAGUCCCUUGGGAAAUCUUACGGCUUAACCGUAAGGCUGCCAAUGGAUACUGCUGGUCUUGGGACCGGGAGAGGCAAGAGGUACCUCAGGGGUAGGGGUGAAAUCCUGUAAUCCUUGAGGGACCGCCAGUGGCGAAGGCGUCUUGCUAGAACGGGUCCGACGGUGAGGGACGAAAGCUAGGGGCACGAACCGGAUUAGAUACCCGGGUAGUCCUAGCCGUAAACGAUGCGAGCUAGGUGUCACGCGGAUUGCGAAUCCAUGUGGUGCCGAAGGGAAACCGUGAAGCUCGCCGCCUGGGAAGUACGGCCGCAAGGCUGAAACUUAAAGGAAUUGGCGGGGGAGCAC
rnacentral:rRNA from 1 species